rnacentral:rRNA from 1 species
UGAGCGGCGAACGGGUGAGUAACGCGUGAGCAACCUACCUUAGUUACUGGGAUAGCCCGAGGAAACUCGGAUUAAUACCGGAUAUUCUUAUUUAAUCACAUGAUUUUUUAAGGAAAGGUCAGCCGAACUAAGAUGGGCUCGCGUUCUAUCAGCUAGUUGGUAGGGUAAUGGCCUACCAAGGCUACGACGGAUAGCUGGUUUGAGAGGAUGAUCAGCCACACUGGGACUGAGACACGGCCCAGACUCCUACGGGAGGCUGCAGCAGGGAAUAUUGCGCAAUGAGCGAAAGCUUGACGCAGCGACACCGCGUGUGGGAUGACGGAUCUAGGUUUGUAAACCACUUUCAGGAGGGAAGAAAAUGACGGUACCUCCACAAGAAGCCCCGGCCAACUACGUGCCAGCAGCCGCGGUAAUACGUAGGGGGCGAGCGUUGUCCGGAUUUAUUGGGCGUAAAGAGCUCGUAGGCGGUUCAACAAGUCGGUCGUGAAAGUUCAGGGCUCAACCCUGAAAUGUCGAUCGAUACUGUUGUGACUAGGAUACGGUAGAGGUGAGUGGAAUUCCGAGUGUAGCGGUGAAAUGCGUAGAUAUUCGGAGGAACACCAAUUGCGAAGGCAGCUCACUGGGCCGCUAUCGACGCUGAGGAGCGAAAGCUAGGGGAGCAAACAGGAUUAGAUACCCUGGUAGUCCUAGCUGUAAACGAUGGAUACUAGACGUAGGAAUUGGAUUAACGAUUUCUGUGUCGUAGCUAACGCGUUAAGUAUCCCGCCUGGGGAGUACGGUCGCAAGACUAAAACUCAAAGGAAUUGACGGGACCCCGCACAAGCGGCGGAGCAUGCGGCUUAAUUCGAUGAUACCCGUAGAACCUUACCUGGACUUGACAUAUAGGGAAAAGUUAUAGAAAUAUAAUGUGCAUUAGCGCCCUAUACAGGUGGUGCAUGGCUGUCGUCAGCUCGUGUCGUGAGAUGUU